GCAGUCGGCGGCGCAGCCGGGGCGGUCUUCGCCGUAUGCGCAUAGAUUGUCGCCGCAACAGAUCGCCGCGGGGGUCAGACCCUCGCACGCGAACUCCACGCAAUAGUCGCCAAACGAGCACAUCUCUCCAUCGUCGCAAAAGACGCCGAAGAAGAUCGUCCAGGUGUGCACGACGCCCUCGUCGCCGCCACCAGCCAUGUCGUUUACGGCGAGCGUCCAGGUUCCGACUUGCGACUCGCCCGCGAAUGCUGAGAAAGGCGUAGCCGGUGCGUACGCG
rnacentral:misc_RNA from 1 species